rnacentral:tRNA from 1 species
GUCUGGAUGGCUCAGUCAGUUGAGCAUCUGACUUCAGCUCAAAUAGAGAUCUUACAGUUUGUGGGUUCAAGCCCCACUUUGGGCU